GUGGGGAAUAUUGGGCAAUGGGCGCAAGCCUGACCCAGCAACGCCGCGUGAAGGAAGAAGGCUUUCGGGUUGUAAACUUCUUUUGUCAGGGACGAAGCAAGUGACGGUACCUGACGAAUAAGCCACGGCUAACUACGUGCCAGCAGCCGCGGUAAUACGUAGGUGGCAAGCGUUAUCCGGAUUUACUGGGUGUAAAGGGCGUGUAGGCGGGAAAGCAAGUCAGAUGUGAAAACUAUGGGCUCAACCCAUAGCCUGCAUUUGAAACUGUUUUUCUUGAGUACUGGAGAGGCAGAUGGAAUUCCUAGUGUAGCGGUGAAAUGCGUAGAUAUUAGGAGGAACACCAGUGGCGAAGGCGAUCUGCUGGACAGCAACUGACGCUGAGGCGCGAAAGCGUGGGGAGCAAACAGGAUUAGAAACCCCUGUAGUCC
rnacentral:rRNA from 1 species